UGAGGGAUAGCUCAGUGGGUACAGUGUAAGACUCUUAAUCUCAGGGUUGUGGGAUUGAGCCCCACAUUGGGUGAAAAA